GAGAGAGAGACGGGGGGAGAGAGAGAGAGACAGAGAGAGACAGAGAGAGACAGAGAGAAAGAGAGACAGAGAGAGAGAGAGAGAGAGACAGAGAGAGAGAGAGACAGAGAGAGAGAGAGAGAGAGACAGAGAGAGAGAGAGACAGAGAGAGAGAGAGAGCCGGUGACGUCAUCUUUUCCGCUCGACUCUGCGGCCGGUGGGAAUGUUCUCGAACGUGUCGGAUGAAGAAGUAACACAAGCAGUUUGUUCUGGAGGGCCUCCAGGAUGCUGUCGGAGUCGCAAAGCAUGCAGGGAGUUGUAGUGCAGAUCUGGAUGUGGUACUUGCCCACCGGCUGCCUCAGGAACAUGGUGUAGAACGUCGCUACCUCAUAGAUCCUCAUCGGAGGGACCUCAAGCACCUCGGCCACCUGGGAGAAGAGAGGAAAAUGUAUGUUUAAAAAAAAAAAAAAAAAAAAAAAAAAAAAAUGGAGGCUCAUUAACACAAAAAGGUGUAGCAUUGACUUAAGUAUAAUCAGUCCAGUAAUGGAUGAUGGAGUCGGUUUCUAAAUGGCUCGUCCCUACUGAUCACGCCCCUGGUCUGCAAAUAGAGAUUCUACGUAAUUCUGUGGUUCAACAAAUCUACAUCAGCACAUCACUCAUUCAUUCUGAUUAUGCCUAUUUUAAAAAUAUGUCUCCAAAAAAGCAAACCAGAUUAACAUACUCUAUUCUGAAGCAAACAGAUGCCCCAGUCGGGAUAUUGUUCAUGGCUGAGAUGGGGAUAUUGAUUGAUUGAUUUACCUUGUUCAUGGCUGAGAUGGGGAGCCAUCCAUGCUGUCUCUGAGCCAGGUCCAACACGGGGAUGGUGGCGGCCUGCUUGUGGCCCUCUGGGUACAUACUAAUGAUAGCAUCAAUCCUCUAAAAACAACAAACGGCUUUCAUUAGUGACUCUAUAUGGAUGUGGUUUGUUGAUAAGAAGAGAAAAUGUGAUUGUUUUAUAAAAGCUUCCUUUUCAUAAAAAAAAAAAAUGUCAAAGUUAAAAGAUGUGAAAUUGAUGCGAUUUACAUUGUAAUAAACCGGUGUUUUAAUAGUU